rnacentral:rRNA from 1 species
GACGAACGCUGGCGGCGUGCCUAACACAUGCAAGUCGAACGCGUCUGUGCUUCGGCACAGGUGAGUGGCGAACGGGUGAGUAACGCGUGAGUAACUCCCCUUGGGGAGGGGGAUAACCAUCUGAAAAGGUGGCUAAUACCCCAUAUUCUCUUUUCUCAUAAGAGGAAGGAGGAAAGGUGGCGCAAGCUGCCACCCCGAGAGAGGCUCGCGUCCCAUCAGCUAGUUGGUAGGGUAAUGGCCUACCAAGGCUAUGACGGGUAGCUGGUCUGAGAGGAUGGUCAGCCACACUGGGACUGAGACACGGCCCAGACUCCUACGGGAGGCAGCAGUGAGGAAUCUUGGGCAAUGGGCGAAAGCCUGACCCAGCGACGCCGCGUGGAGGAAGAAGGCCUUCGGGUCGUAAACGUCCUGUUUGGGUAGAAGAACAAGAGAGAAGUAAUAAGCUUCUCUCUCUGACGGUAUCCCCGGACGAAAGACUCCGGCCUAAUUACGUGCCAGCAGCCGCGGUAAG